rnacentral:lncRNA from 1 species
AUCUAUAUACUGAACUAGCUCAUUUAAUAGCUAGCUUAUUUAAUAAUCCCAACUAAAAGCUAAUGAAAUUUAUUUAUUUAUUUUUGUGUAGGUGAUUUGCAUGUGUGUUCUUUGCAAGUUGCAACCUACAGAGCACUUGGGUGAUUCACAACCUCAUAUGUUUAUGUUUCCCUUUCCACACUCCAAAAGAAGAUGACUCAUAACAACAGUCUCUUUCCCUUAGC